rnacentral:lncRNA from 1 species
AUGGAGUCUUUGCGAUUGAUUAAUUUGAAAUUCAGUUGAGAACAUGACAAGUAGUCUCAAGAGCAUAACCUUAAAAGAGACUAGCAGACUUAUAAAUUCCAUCAUGGAUCGAACUAUAUCUGACAAAGUCGAUUCUAAUAAGAAAAAGUUUUAUUCUCUUCUACAUAUGUUAAAAACUAACCAAAAAGGUAUUCUCCUCCUUGGUC